rnacentral:lncRNA from 1 species
GGCGGAUUUGUCUCGUCCGACUGUGGCUGUUGCUACUGUCGUUCUUGCUGGGCUUCAGCGCGGGAUCUGCCCUCAACUGGCGGGAACAAGAAGGCAAGGAAGUAUGGGAUUACGUGACUGUUCGAGAGGAUGCACGCAUGUUCUGGUGGCUCUACUAUGCCACCAACCCUUGCAAGAACUUCUCAGAGCUGCCUCUGGUCAUGUGGCUUCAGGGUGGUCCAGGUGGUUCUAGCACUGGAUUUGGAAACUUUGAGGAAAUCGGCCCUCUUGACACCCGACUCAAGCCACGGAACACUACCUGGGUACGGUGAGAACAGCCCUCUCCCCUGCCUGCUCUUUAUCCUAAGAGGCCCCACCCAGGGCAGGGUGGGGGUCACAGAAUUAGCAGCCCGCCUUGGUGGGCUUUCCUGAGACCUCGGUCACCUGCCUACAGCCUUCCUUCCUGCAGUCGAGCUUCUCCCCUUGUCUCAGAAUGAAUGUCCUAUUGUCCCUGCCUUUUCCAGUGAUCUUUUUCCACUUAACCGUCACAGACUUCUAGCCAAGACUAGGUGGCAGCUAAGUGAAUGCUGCGCUUUCUUAGCGCACACAGAGCCCUGGUGCAAAGCUCAGAACUACCU